rnacentral:rRNA from 1 species
UUGGAGGGCAAGUCUGGUGCCAGCAGCCGCGGUAAUUCCAGCUCCAAUAGCGUAUAUUAAAGUUGUUGCAGUUAAAAAGCUCGUAGUUGAAUUUCGGGAUCAAUGUUUCGGUCAUGCCGUUGGUAUGUACUGAUAUUAUUGAUUUCUCACCCUCUAAAGAACCGUAAUGCCAUUAAUUUGGUGUCACGGGGAAUUAGGACUGUUACCUUGAAAAAAUUAGAGUGUUUAAAGCAGGCUCACGCUUGAAUACAUUAGCAUGGAAUAAUGAAA